GACAUGUUUAAUCUUAAAAGUGGUGAAAGACCAAGGCGUGUACAGAGUACCUCCUUGAUUGAUGAGGAAGAGAUUUGUGGUAGAGUUGGUGAGAAGAAUGAACUCAUAAGCAAGCUGUUGCGUGAGAGUAGCGAGCAACAAAAAGGCCUCCAUAUCAUCUCAAUUGUUGGUAUGGGAGGCAUAGGGAAAACUACUCUUGCACAACUAGCUUGUAAUCAUGACGAGGUGAAGAGAAAGUUUGACAAAAUUCUGUGGGUGUGUGUAUCAGAAACUUUUGAGGAGUUUAGGGUAGCCAAAGCGAUCGUUGAAGCUUUGGAUAGUCGUGAAUCUCAUUUAGGUGAAUUUCAAUCUCUUCUUAAAUAUAUUUAUGAAUCAAUUGCAGGGAAGAGCUUUCUUCUUGUCUUAGAUGACGUGUGGGAUGGAAAUUACUUGAAAUGGGAACCAUUCUACCGUUGUCUAAAGAAUGGUCUCCAUGGAAGUAAAAUUUUAGUUACCACACGUAAAGGGUCAGUCGCAUCCAUGAUGGGAUCCAUAACUAUUAUCUCCGUUAAGGAGUUAGCUGAAGAGGAAUGUUGGUUGUUGUUUAAAAAGAUAGCAUUUUUUGAUCGGUCCAUCGAGGAACGUGAAAAAUUAGAACAAAUUGGGCAAAGAAUUGCAGGCAAGUGCAAAGGUUUACCUCUUGCAGCAAAGACAAUAGGGCAUCUCAUGCGUUCUAAACAAACUGAAGAAGAGUGGAAAAGAAUUUUAAAUAGUGAUUUAUGGAAAGUAGAAAAGAUUGAGAAAGAUGUUUUGUCCUCUUUAUUGUUGAGUUAUAAUGAUUUGCCAUCUAGAGUAAAAAGAUGUUUUUCAUAUUGUGCUGUCUUUCCAAAAGAUUAUAAUAUAAGAAAAGACAAACUAAUCUCAGUAUGGGUGGCUCAAGGUUAUCUUAGUGCAGAAGCAGCAGAACAAAAUGAGGAGUUGGAGACUAUAGGUGAAGAGUAUUUUAGCAUCUUAGCUUCUCGCUCUUUCUUUCAAGAGUUUAAGAAAAGUUAUGAUAAUUGGAUUAUAGAGUGUAAGAUGCAUGAUAUGGUACAUGAUUUUGCCCGAUUUGUAAGUCAAAAUGAAUGUUUUUCCAUGGCAAUUAAUGGUAGUGAAGAAUCAAACGCCACAAACUCUCUUGAUGAGAAGGUCCGUCAUUUAAUGUUAAUCUUUAGUAAAGGGGCUUCAUUACCUGUUUCCACUCUUAGAGUUAAAAGAAUGCGUAGCCUCUUUAUUAACGAUAGUGAAUCUGAUCAUUCAUCAUUAAAUGGUGAGAUCCUAGAAGAAUUAUUUAGGGAAUUGACAAGUUUAAGGGCAUUAGAUUUUGGCAAAUCGUGUAACUCAAGUUGGUCUUCGACUCUGGAGUAGGGAUGGCAAAAAUCCCCACGGGGACGGGUACCCUCGGGGAUUUUCCCCAUUCGGGGAGGGUAUGGGGAUAAUUUCAUACCCAAUUUCUUAUUCGGGGAGGGGACGGGGAAAUUUUUUUACCCAAUUUCUUAUUCGGGGAGGGGACGGGGAUGAGGUGGAAUCCCCAUCCCCUACCCAUUUCCCCAUUUUAAUUUUUAAUUUAAUUUUAAUUUUUUAAAAUUACUAGUAAAUAAAUUAUAAAAUUUAAAUUAUAAAAUUAUAAAUAUUGGUAAAAAUAAAAAAUAUCAAAAUAUUUAUAUUAUUAAACUUUUAGGCCUAAUUAGCUAAUUAAAGUUCUAAAUUUUUAUUUAGGACAUUAAAAAGACUGAGUAGAUUCUAUUAGCCAAAUUUUUUUUUAAUUUUGAUAUUCUUUAAAUAUUUUAAACUUAAAUCUAUUUUUUAUUUAAUUUUAGAUGUUAUAAUUGCCCACAGCGAAUCACAAUUUUAAUAUCUAAUCUAAUCUAAUCUAAUAUUUACUUUUGAUUUGCUCCGAUUUAACUAUUGUGUUGUAAAGGGAAUAGUCCACAUUUAUAAAGUGCCCACGCCACCAUUGAAAAAGUUAAUUUUGAAUCUAAAUUUGAUUUUAUUUGUAACAAUUUUGUAUUAGACUAUUAAUUUGUUCAUGAUAGUUUGUAAAAUAAGUUUGUAUCUCUUGUAUGUUGCGUUACUUACUAAUUUAAUGUAUGUGACUUUUGUAAUAGAUAUUAAUGUAAGAUAUAUUUCGAACUUUACUUUUAUUUGAAUUUUUUAUUUUAAUAUGAUUAACUCAAAAUCGAAAAAAAAAUGUAUUAGUUAAUCGGGGAUCGGGGACCCUCGGGGAUCCCCUGUUAUUAUCUUCNNNNNNNNNNNNNNNNNNNNNNNNNNNNNNNNNNNNNNNNNNNNNNNNNNNNNNNNNNNNNNNNNNNNNNNNNNNNNNNNNNNNNNNNNNNNNNNNNNNNACCUUAUUUGUGUUUUCAGAAAAUAGUGAAACUACCGGAGACAUUAUGCGAGUUGUAUAAUCUAGGAAAGUUAGAUAUUAGUUGUUGUUAUAGUCUUAAAGAAUUACCUGAAGGGAUUGGGAAGUUAAUAAACAUGAAGCAUUUACUAAAUAGAGAUACUCAUUCUUUAAGGUACAUGCCAGUAGGGAUUGGGAGAUUAACGGGUCUUAGGACCUUGGAUGAGUUCCACGUGAGUGCAGGAGGAGGUGUUGAUGAUAGGAAAGCAUGUAGGCUUGAAUCUCUAAAAAAAUUGGAACACCUUCAAGUAUGUGGUAUACGUAGACUGGGUGAUGUAUCAGAUGUGGGCGAGGCUAAGCGAUUAGAACUUGACAAAAAGAAAUACCUCUUCAGUUUGACCCUUGAGUUUGAUAAGAAGGAAAGAGGAAGAGAAAGGAGGAAGAACGAGGACGAUCAACUUCUUCUUGAAGCCCUGCGACCACCCCUGGAUUUUAAGGAAUUAGAGAUACGGUUCUACCGAGGCAACACUGUUUUCCCCAGCUGGAUGACGUCAUUAACCAACUUAAAGAGUUUAGAUCUCUGUAACUGCGAAAAUUGCGAGCAGCUGCCUCCUUUGGGAAAAUUGCCGUCCCUUGAAAAACUCAGCAUAAUGUUUAUGCCUGUGAAAAGAGUGGGUGAUGAAUUUUUGGGGAUAGAAAGUGGUCAUCGUGACUCAUCUUCAUCUUCAUCGGUUAUUAUUGCCUUCCCCAAAUUGAAAUCACUUUCAAUUGAGUCUCUGGACGAAUUGGAGGAGUGGGAUUAUGGGAUUACAGGAACGGGAAACACCUUCAUCAACAUCAUGCCACGUCUUUCUUCUUUGGAAAUUAAUUACUGCCCCAAAUUAAAGGCACUGCCCGACCACAUUCAUCAAACGACAACAUUGAAGGAAUUGCGCAUUUGGGGGUGUGACCUUCUGGAAGAACGUUACCGCAAGGGAGAAGGAGAAGACUGGCCUAAGAUAUCACACAUUCCCAACCUCCAUAUUGGGCUUUGACAAGUAAUUUCUUCUCUUACUCUGAUUUGCUUUGUUGUUGUUUUUAAUCUAAUUAAGAAGCGUAAAUAGCAUUUUGAAUCAAACUCUAUAUCAGAAAUCUGCAAUACUUACUUUCUAAUAUUCUGAUUUUCAUAUCCUAUGAAUAUACGAUUUUUAAUUUGUGAGAUGGGUAACGUUACUGUAAAAGAUUAUUAAUGCAAUAUGAGUAAUUCUUUUGCAGGACAAGUGACCUACAUUUAGUUUGGCUUUGGAGUUGAAUAAUAACCUUUCGGGAACUGGUGUGGACUGGCAAAGGAUGAUGAGAUAGUUUUUUGAGUGAGUAAAUUUUGGGAGCUUGAGUGUAUUGGGAUUUGCAAUUACAAUCAUCCUCUGCUUCAGGUGAUUUCUUCUCUUGCUCUGUCAUUGUUUGUUCUCUAAUUCAAAAGCAUGAAAUAUUUCAAUCAAUUUUUAUACCAGGAAUAUGCAAAAGUUUCUAAUAUUUUAUUUCCAUCUGUUACAAGAUCAAACUGAAGCAGAACUCAAACAAAAGUAUGCUACUUCUUGCGGAAAUCUUGCCUUUGUUCAGAUUAUGAAACCAUUUCCAUGCAGCAAAUUCAUCCAAAAGUUUGAAUAAGUUUCAUGGUCGGACACUGUUGGCUUCUUUUUCUUCUGGGGUGCAUUUAGGUGCUAUCAAGUGACAGCUGUAAGUAUGAUUGCACUAAGCUGCUGCUGGGAAAUUUGAGGUUUUGAUGGCUGCCCAUGUUAUUUUCAAGAAACUAUUGAUGUAAGAAGCCGUGGUUCUUUUCAUCAGCUUGAACCUGAAACUGUCGCUAUGGAUAACUCAGGUUUUUGUUAUCAACUAUAUCAUCUUUUUCACUAUUUUGAAACUCUUAAGAUUAAACGUUAGUAAAGUUGUUUCAGCUAUUCAAAUGAAAAACUCAUUGAUUUGAGACUUCCUUCAUUAUUGUUUCUAAUUACAAUGCUAACGAUCCAGAUAAAAUAAUAUUUAAUCGGCGAAGGUGUCCCUUGGAAGUACAUCCUUCUUUUUCUUUUAUUAUAUAAAUUCUUGCAAUGAGCUUAGUGAAGCUGUUGUGCUAUCAUGCCACUGCAUAAUUUGGCCCCUAAUGUGGGUACUCUGUUUCAUUGUUCUGCAAAUUCUCCAGCAGUUAAAAUCAAUAAAUUUUCUAUUAGCUCUAGUGCUUUGACCUAAAUGCUAUUCUAUAUUCUGAUUACAAUGUUUUAACCUUUAAAUUAACUACUCCUAGAUGUUGGAUUUUCUAGAACUUCAAAAUGAUUAAUGGAGAAAGAUCCCAUUAUCGUUAUUGCUAUAAGAAAUUGAUUUAUGCAUCCAAAGAUACAUUAUAUAUUUCUGUGUCUCUAUUUAUAGAUGACAUUUAAGCAUCCAUAAACCGUCAGACAGAGGAAGGGGGUUCAGUGCAAAGAUUCUGUUGACCUAGGGUUGACUGCAUAAUGUCACUUGUUCGCAAUCUAUUAUUUAUUUUAUAUUUUGAAGAAUUUAAUGGGUAAUCCUAAUUGUUUGUUUUGGCAGGUAUGUGUUGUUAUCUCCUUCUAUCUUACAGUCAUACCUAAAUAGCAUAGUUUCAUCUGUGUUACCAUGUGAUGUACAUAAUUUCACAUUUGCCUCAGAUUAAGCUUAAUUUCCCACAAAAUAGAGCUGUCGCGACUGGACUUAGGUUGAUGUCCAAAGAGGUAAAUUAUUGGCAUGCCUAGAUAAUUUGGCCAUUUCCUAAUUCAUAAGUCUACGUUAAUUUUGAUUUUGAGUUGACUGAUUUCUUUUCAAGGUCUGCUUCCUUAACGGAGUGACCAAUGUUUUUCAACUAAAUUUAUCAUAUGAUGCAGGAAGCAGGGCAGGAUAUGAAAUGAGAAGCUCAUUGGUGGAAGUAUUGCCAGUAGCAGAACCCAAUGAAAAUGAAACUAUUUCAAGGCAGCAGUUGGCAGUUGCAAGUGAAUGGAGGCCCUUGACAAAAUUCUCAAGCGGUUGCAAUGCAAUUACGAUCAUCCUCAGCCUCAGGUAAUUUCUUCUCCUGCUUUGUAUUUAUUUGUUAUCUAAUUAGGAAGCGUAAAGUAUCUUGAAUCAUUUUCUGUAUCUGGAAUAUAUGCAAGAGUUUCUAAAAUUUUGAUAUGAGUGUAAUGAUGGUAAUUUCUGUUUUCUGUCUGUCAUCAAAUGUUAGAAAACUUUCAUUGAGACCCUUGAACCGAGUCAUUUUUGACAAGUGAAGGACAAUUGCUGAAGAGUGGGAAUGGUGCUAGAUUGGGGAAUAAAGACAAAGGAGGUAAAUUAUUUGCAGUUUAUUCAGCAUUAUUUGCUUUGGACCAGCGCCUGAUUCACAAGUCUCCAUAAUUUGGCUUUUGACCAGUUAAUAAAUUUUUAAUUCCAUUGGUGCUAAAUGUACACGUGAAGCAGGCAGAGCAGGACUGUGGAAAUGAGAAGGUUUUUAGUGAAAGCUUAAACUCAGGUAAUUCUAAAAAGUACAUGUUUUUGCUGAUUUAUCUAAAUCAGGAAAUUUUAUUUCCAUCUGUUACAAGAUAAAACAGAAACAGUCAAACAGAACACACAGAAAAAUAUUCUACUUCUUGUGGCAAUCUUGCCUUCAUUCAGACAAUGAAACCAUUUCCUUUCACCAAUUUCUUCCAAAAGUUUGAAUAAGUUUCAUGGUUGGACAUAGUUAGCUUCUUUUUCUUUUGGUGCAUUUAGGUCCUAUCAAGUGACAGCCAUAAGUAUGAUUGCAUUAUUGGAAAAUUUUAGGUUUGGAUGGUUCCCCAUGUUAUUGCCAAGAAAGUCCUCAUGUCAGAAGCUGCGGUUCUUUUCAUCAGCCUGAACCCGAACCUGUCGUUAUGGAUAACUCAGGUUUUUGUCGUCAACUAUAUCAUCUUUUUUACUGUUUUGAAACUCUUAAGAUUAAACUUCAGUAAAGUUGUUUCAGUUAUCCAUGUAAUCCGGCUAAGGAUAUUUAGCAGCUUAUUUAGGCAACUGCCAGAAUUCAGUUUGUUUGCUCGAAACUUGUAUGGUGACAAGGAUACUGGCAAGGAUAGUGAGAUAGUUUUUUGUGUGAGUGAAAUUUGAAAGCUUGGGUGUUCUGGGAUUUGCAAUUGCAAUCAUCCUCUGAGUCAGGUGAUUUCUUCUCCUGCUCUGUCUUGAUUUUCUCUCUAAUUGAAAGCAUAAAGUAUUUCAAUCAAAUUCUGUACCAGGAAUACGUAAAAGUUACUAAUAUUUUAUUUCCAUCUGUUUGCAUUGAUAACUCGGCCGCAUAUGUUCUAGUUAAAGAACAAACAGAAACAGAGUUCAGGAAAAAGUUUCUUCGGCCACCAUAUUUGAAAAUGAAACCAUUUCCAGGAAGCAGUUGGCAGCAAAUUCAUAUGGAGUGUAGACAAUGAUGAGCGAAAAGGUGAUUCGCAAUUUCUUUUUUUUUUUUAAGUGAAAUUAUUUGUUAGAUUGAAGCUGAUAUUGUAAGAAGGCCAUUGAGCUAACCUAUGUCGCCACUUGCCUAGAUUGCAGGGGGUCAAGACUCAAAAGAAGCACUGAAAUUUAAAAAGCAUGCAAUAGUUCUUUUGCCAUGUGUCAAUUAAUGCAAGUUUGAAUAAGUUUAUUGGCUGAACGAUGUUAGCUUCUUUUCCUUUCGUGCACUUUGGUAUGCUAUCAAGUGACAGCCGUAUGUAUGGCUUGCAUAUAGCUGCUGCUGGGAAAAUUGACGAUUUCAUGGCUGGCCGUGUUAUUGUCUUAAAUUAGUUGUGAUAAGCUGUUGCUUGGAGAUUCUGUUGCCAAGACUUUGCUCACAUCAGAAGCUGUGGAAUCUGAACCCUUCGUUAUGUAUCAUCUUUUUCAUUGUUUUAAAACUCUCAGGAUUAAACUUGAGCGAAUUUGUUCGGUUGUCUAUAUAAUCAUGUAUUGAGUAAACUCUCAGGAAACUGAACAUGCAAAUGUUAUAACUCGGGUUGUUAGCCAAAAACUUGUUGAAUAGGGAUUUGGAUUUGUUAGGAAGUUAUCAUUUUUUAUUUUUUAUUUUGUUUUAUUUUUUUAUUUUUUUAUUUUUAUCUUCUGGUGGUGCUAUAUUUUCAAACGACAGUCCGAUUCAAAACUUGAUAUUCCAAUUAUAUUCAUAAGCUUCUAUAGUUAUCUUCAAAAAGACAAAUGGAAGGCUUUGAACGGCUUGGGUCUGAGUAUUGUAGUUUGAUUUAUUUUGAUGAAAGAACCUUUUGACAUUAAGAUUCUUUCAUGAGUUAAACAUUCUUUUUAAAACCAACUUAUUAAAAAAAAGUAACGAACAUAUAUUAUUUUGUUAGUGCUUUUUAAAUCAAAUAUAAAAAAGAGAACUGUAAUUCUUAGCAACCAAUUUUUCACUGAGUACAGCUACAACAAACUAUUAAAAAAUAAAGUGAUAGAAAAUGCCUGAUUUUUCGUACUUUCUAAUUACUUUUGGUCCUAAAAUAUGGCGAUUUGUGUAAUAAUAAGUCCAUGUAUAUCUUUAUGCCAUUAGUUUGAUAAAUAGCUAUCAAGGAUAACUUAUUAAGCUAAAAAUAUUUGAAGGAUAAAAUGAUAAAACUAAAAGGGUGGAGUAAUAUAGUUAUUUAGGAUUACAUAGUAAGUCAACUAUAUUCAAGGGAUAAAAUAUUAAAACUUGAAUAGUGAUAUUAAAAAUAUCUCGGUUAUUAUACUAUUAAAUCAUAUGCCGUAAUAGUAUUUUUUUUCAAACUUUAAAAAAUUCAGGAUUUUAAAUUAAAACAUGGAUUUCUUUAAGAUGCUAUAUAUGUUUUUUAUAGUAUUGAUAUUGGGAUUAGUGUGGACCCUUAGAUGAAAGAGUUUUAAUCUGAAUCAUUCAUUUAAUAUAAUAGAUAAUUAAAUAAUUAAUUAAAAUAUAGCAGGUAACUUAUAGGUUGUAGGUAAAAAAUUAAUUUUUUAAUUUUAAAUUAAAAUUAAUUUGGAAAAAUACCAUCCACACCCCUAAAGUUUACUUAAAUGAUCAUAUAAAUCCCUUUAGUUUCUACAUAGUUAUACAGAGCCUCUUAAUUUCAUAAAUUAUUAUUAUACUUUUAAUUAAAACAACCUAAAUGAAUAUAAAUAUAGUAAUAGGAUAGAAAUAAUAAAUAAAUAUCAGAUGAAACAAAUAAAAUAUUACAAUAAAUACAAUUAAUUAAAUAAUAUGUAUGAUGAAAAUUUUAUUCAUAUUAAGUUAUUAUUAGUCUAUCCCGAUGGAUUUACUCAAAUCAAUUAAUCCAAAAUUUAAUUUUAAGAUUGAUAUUAAUAUGGACAUAAUUAAAUAAGAUGUUGUAAUAUAUACUACUUUGAAUGUUAAGUAUAAUUAUCUAAUAUUAUUAGUAUGUGAAAUAGAUUUUAAUAUUAUUAAAAGAAUAUGACAAUAUAUAAUUUUGAAAUAAAUUUUUUAGUAUUCAUAAUAUUUUAUAAAUUUUAUCUUAUUUUAUAUAUUAUAUUUUUUUAUUUUAAUGUAUUAUAUAUGAUCAUUUAAGCAAAUUUUGGAGGUGCGGUGGUCUUUUCCCUAUUAAUUUUAUAGCAUAUUUAAAGUGUUAUAUCAUACAUCAUACAUCGCACUUUUGUUAAAGUGUUAUGUUAUUAAAAAUUAAACUUUGCAUUUAUAAUAUACUACCAUUUUAAUGUAAAGGUAAUAGAAAAUAUGAAGAUAUUUUUAAGUAGUCAAUUGUAGUUUUCUUUUACAAAAUAGCAGUAUAGAAAUACACACACACACACACACACAUAUCAAGUACUUGUAUGUUCCCCUAACUUUUAUUAAUAGGAAGGAAAUUAAAUUCAUAAUUUUCCCGGUGAAUUAUGAAUUGAUAAAUGAAAUAUAAAUAUUAGAAAAAAUUAAUUUGUCGACUAAAGAAGUAAACCAUAUUUUAUGGGCAUUUAAUACAUUAAUUUAAGGUCAAAUGAGAUAUAUCACAUGAUAUUUGAUAUAGUAGUCCAAUUUUCAACAUUUGCAUAUAGUUUCUAAGCUAGUAAUCUAAUAAAAUAUACCAAAUGAGAAAUUGAAGGCUAUUAUUUAUAUUUCACCAUUGGACAAACACCAUACAUUAGAAUAAAAAAAUCUCACAGUAGAGACGGCAUCUGUUUGCAUGUUUUGAAAAUAGAUUUUGAAAUUAGUUUAAUUACAUGAUAAUUAAAUUAUAUUAUAAAAUUAAGAAUAUGAUUUAAGUACUAUUUUAGCAAUUUUGAGUCUCACAUUGAGUAUUGAAGUUAAUUAAAUGUUGAAACUCUUUUCUAUUUGGCUUGAAAUCACUACUUAAUAAAAUUACAAAAAGUCAAUAAUGAAUGAUGUAGGACACAUAUGUAAAAUAAAUUUUAAAGUGUAAUUAAACAUUCCUAUCAAUAUUAGUUUUGUAUACAUAUUCAUAUAUUUUACUGAAACCAUAUAUAAUUAAAUUUUGUGUAAUUAAGUAAAAUAUAUUAUUCAAGUGAAUUUAUGAGAAUAUGUAAAAUUGUAGGGGUGGUCACUGAAAUUUGCCAAACUUGAGCCAACCGUGCAUGAUCCAAACAGUUUAUUUUAAUAAUUCUCAAUAUGUUAGUCUGUUUGACUGUUGGCAAAAUGAAUUCCUAUCAGCAAUGCAACACAAUUCAAAAUCAUAUCUGCAUACAACGAACAAUAUCUCAUCAAAGAUCAAAUUAUACAUUUUUUACACCAAAGCAUAAAUAUCUAAAUUGUCCCUCUUCAACUCACCAAGCUCAUACCUAACAACAGCAAGAUUAAAUGUCAUUUGAUCCAUCUUUUUUAUUAAGCUUUAUCAAUUCUUCUCAUGGUUGCAAUUUUGAAAGCUCGCUUCGCUAUUUCCAUUUGCUUUUAUGCUUUGUUUGAGCUCCAUCUACAUUUUACACUGUAAAAAAAAUUUAAAAAAAAUUACAAAGCUUCUUAUACUAGAAUAUGAGCAACAAUAUAAAUAAUAAACAAUAAAGUUAUGAUAGCACAGCAUACUCAUUAAAGUGCUUCUUUUUUUUUUUCAGCAAGAAAUUACUACUGAAUUAAAGAAUUGGCUUUGCAUUAAGGUUUGCCUUCAAUAACUCAACUCCCCACUUGGGUUUUGUCGUUUUCUUAAAAUCUCUGCUCAAUCAAUUUAAAGAUCCAUUUUUUUUUUCUUUCCAAAGAUCUAAAAGCAAUGUCUUUUAUUGGUACCCAACAAAAAUGCAAGGUCUGUGAGAAGACAGUUUGUCCAGUUGAACAGUUAUCUACUGAUGGGGUUGUUUAUCACAAGUCUUGCUUCAAGUGCUCUCACUGCAAAGGCACACUCAAGCUAAGCAAUUACUCAUCCCUGGAAGGUGCUCUUUACUGUAAGCCUCACUUUGAGCAGCUUUUGAAGGAGUCGAGUAACUUCAACAAGAAUUUCCAAUUACCUGCAAAGUCAGCUGAGAAGUUAACUCCUGAGCUGAGAAGGUCGCCUAGCAAAGUUGCCAGCAUGUUCUCUGGGCCCAAUAAAAAUGUGCUUCUUGCAGUAAAACAGUGUGUCCGUGGGAGAACGUAGCAGCGGAAAACCAAGCCUCUCACAAGACAUGUUUCAAGUGCUCACAUGGUGGUUAUUCCAUUAGCCCGUCAAAUUACGCAGCCCUAGAAGGCAUCUUGUAUUGCAAACAUAAUUUCUCCCAAUUGUUCAAGGAAAAAGGCAGCUACAACCACCUUAUAUAAAAUCUGCUUCCAUGAAGCGUGCUGCAGUCUCUGUUCAAGAAGCUUGAACAUGUUAUGUUAUCUUCCAUAAAUCUUAUUUGGCGUGGGUUUUCUCUGGCUUGAGGGUGUGCUUUCUAUUUUGAUCCCUCUUGUUGUUUUUGCGGGGAACUACCAAACCUUCGGUUCCCUCUGCUUCUUUGGAUCAUCUUUGUUGGGACAAAUUUCAUGUAAUUAGAGAUACUGAUUUAUGGGAGGCAUAAUCCCAUGGUCGUAAAUUGACCAUUUUCUGGCAAUGUUCUUUUUAAAAAGAGAUGAGCAGUUGUUUAACAAAAAAAAUAGCUGGCCUUCAUCAUGGUAUGUUACCAAACUGCUAUGUAUAGCUGCUAACUAUGAGCAUCCGAAAAUAUGGUGCAUCGUGAUUCAUGUAGUGCAAUAUGGCUACCAACGCAUCCUAAAUGGAGUAUUACUCAGUUAGUCAGCAAAAUAAGACAACAUAACUGAUAUUAAAAAAAUAAAAAAACUACAUUAAUAAGUGGGCAAGAUCAUGCCAGUUUAACUUUUCGCGCGUCGCUGCUGGAGAUAAUCAAAUCGGGGCAGAGAAAAGGAGAAUGGAAUCAGAGGCUAAGAUUAAUAAGUGGGCUUCUGCUUGCUUUGCCCCUCUUUCUUAAACGAUUGGUAGACUGCUGCUUCCACCGAUUAACCGGGUCUUCAACCACUGCUUUUACUGCCUGCCAUCUUGUUGUUUGUCGAAGGGAUGAAUUCGAGUCGAAAAGAGAAAGCGCGCUGAAAAAGAUAAAUCACUAGUGGUUAACUGCUUACUCAGCCAAGUGUUGGCUUCACUUGAUUCACCGAUUGAGGUUAUUUUGUCUUCUAUCUAAUGCAGCGAAGAAGCUUUGCUGCUUAACAUGCUGCAAUGCAACUUUAUCCUUUGAAGUUCACACUUCAGGGCUGCGCACUUUAUGUAAUCCUAUGAGUAAAAAGAAUUUGUUUUCAAAUGUGAAAAAAGAAAAUGUAAGGUAGUAACUAAAUAUUUUAUAGCAUCAAAGCAAUAUUUGAUAUGAAUUUAGUACAACAAAGAACAUCAAAUCUGUGAUUCCUUGUCUAGUGUCACCAUCGAGCAACAAAUUUAAAAGCCUACCUAUCAAAUACACGAGGCAAUAAACGGAGAAAAAGUUGAAUUACAAGAACAAGUUUACAAUUCUUGUCAAUGGUUAAUGAUUUGUGAACUGAGACAGCUUUCAAGAAUCCAAUUUCAAUACAACAACGUAAAAGAUAAACAGAUGAUGAAUUCUAUGAGAUAAAGAAGGAGAUCGUGUUUUAUCGUAUCUCUAUUUUCUUUCUUUUUAAAUUUAAAAUAAGCUUUUCAACCGGUUUGUUAACCGGUUAUAAUAUUUUUUAAAAUAAUUAAAUAUUUUCAUUAUUAAAAAUAAUGUGUACCGUUGAUUACAUCUAACGGUAUAUAUUUCUUACACUACUAAUAUCGUAAAAAAAAAAUACAGCAUCAUAGAGGGACCCUUAAAACAUUUUCAUUUGAAAUUAUUUGGUGAAGUGAAAAAGUUAAGAAAGAAAUAGUUGUCCCUUUGGUCAUUUCACAAAAAUGAAAGCCCCAUAUAACAUGGACUUGAAUGGAAGCCCAAUUGUUGUGUUUGAUUUCAAGCUUUAUCGGACCUUUGGACCUGGAUACUUUACUGCGGCCUCUAAGCGCUACAAAUUUUUUUUUUGGGAUAAAAGGCGCUUCAAUGAAAAAGCACUUUAAAACUUUGGAUUUUGCCAAAACUUCAAAGCGGUUGGUCCGGUUACGGUGUUAUGCUAACGGGUUUAAAGGUUCUGAUCCAAUGAGUUAGGGUGGAAUAUGAAUAUAUAAAUUCCAUAGCAUGUGAGGACUAGGAUUUGUUUGUUCAUAUCAAGAAAAAAGAUCUGAAAAUUUGAUGAUCAGAAGAUAAAAACACUUAAACACGUUUAUUACAGAGAAACAAACGACAACACGAUACUAGUAGUAGUUAUUCUUUUCAUCCGAUAUAUUACAUGGUAAUAUCACCACUCGUUCCACUGGUUUCAUAUACACCAUCGACCAGCAACAUGAUAAUUUUGUGUCAGUUCAUUUUGUUUGUAGGAAAGAGCAGUAUCUUUUUUAGAACUUGAAAAUAAUAAAAAGAUUUUAAAAUAUAAAUUGCAUAUUUGUUUAUUGCUGUUGUUUGGUCUAAUUUCUUACGUAGAAUUGCUUGUCAUUCUUUGUACGUUAUUGAUUAUAUUUUUGUCAGACUUGGCGUAUAUAUUCACAUAUGUUUUAUUUUGUCAUUUUGUAGAACAUUUUUACAUGCCAUAUUAUCACGACUCUUCUGUGUCUGAAUAAGAAGAAAGCAUAAUGCGACCCUCCAACAGCUUAAUCUAUGGAAUUAUCGUGUUUUGUAAGUUGAGGUCCAAUGGCGUUUUGGCACAUCAUAUGAUAGACCACUAUAUUGCGUUGCUUUACAAAAGAUUAAUAUUUUUAAAAUUAUUAGGUAAGUUUAGGCUCAGUGGCACUUUAACUCAUGAUAUGAUAGUCCAGGUUUUCAUCAGCCUGAACAUGGACCUGUCGCCAUGGAUAACUCAGGUUUUUUUUUUUUUAAUCAACUACGUCAUCUUUUCCACUGUUUUGAAACUCUUAAGAUUAAACUUUAGUAAAGUUAUUUUAGUUAUCCAUGUAAUCAAGCUGAGGAUACUUAGCUGCCUAUUUAGGCAAAUGUCAGAAUUUAGUUUGUUCGCUGGGAACUGGUGUGGUGACAGCGUCCUGGCAAAGGAUGAUGAGAUAGUUUUUUGAUUGAGUAAAUUUUGGGAGCUUGAGUGUAUUGGGAUUUGCAAUUACAAUCAUCCUCUGCCUCAGGUGAUUUCUUCUCCUGCCCUGUCGUUGUUUGUUCUCUAAUUCAAAAUUAUAAAAUUUUUCAAUCAAAUUUUAUGCCAGGAAUAUGCAAAAGUUUCUAAUAUUUUAUUUCCAUCUGUUUGCCUUGAUAACUUUGCGGCAUAUGUACUAGUUAAAUCCCUCAAAACGUAAACAAAACUCUGUUGGUAUUGAUUCCUAAGGUGGACCAUCCUACCAGUUUAACGAUGUUUCGGCCUAUAAGUUUAUGCACUGUCGCCUAUAAGACAGUGACUAAAAUUAUUGCCACUCGUUUACAAGAACUAUUACCUGAGCUGAUCGGGCCUCAUCAGACAAGUUUUGUUCCCGGACGACACAUUGUGGACAACAUUGUUAUUGCUCAGGAAGUGGUUCACUCCAUGCGCAGAAAAACUGGUAAAAGAGGGCUUAUGGCUAUUAAGGUGGAUCUCGAGAAGGCAUAUGAUCGGCUGAACUGGUCGUUUAUUUUUGAAACUCUUCAAUUGACAGGGCUCCCGAUUCAAUUAUCUCGGCUCAUCAUGGAAUGUGUUAAAUCAGCUAGCAUGAAUAUUUUGUGGAAUGGCGAGGUAACUGAGGAGUUUUUUCCGGGAAGAGGUAUUCGGCAGGGUGACCCUCUAUCUCCGUAUAUUUUUGUGCUCUGCAUCGAGCGUUUGAGCCAUGGAAUAUCCCAAGCUGUGGGGGAUGGAAGUUGGAAGCCAAUUCGGCUGGCUAAACAUGGCACUCCCCUUACCCACCUUUUUUUUGCUGAUGAUUUGCUUUUAUUUGCAGAAGCUUCGAUUGAUCAAGCUCAUAUCAUUGAUGCGGUUUUGGAGAAUUUUUGUCGAAGUUCUGAAGUAAAGGUUAACAAAGUGAAAACUACAAUUUUCUUUUCGAAGAACGUUGCUGCAAGAGAGGCCAAGCUCAUUGGUGCUGCCUUGGGGGUUUCGAUUACUCAUGAUCUGGGAAGCUAUCUUGGAAUGCCGUUACUUCAUUCGAGGGUGAAUAAAGCUACGUAUCAAUCUAUUUUAGACAAGGUAGACAUAAGGCUCAGUGGCUGGAACGCGGCUCAUUUAUCCUUUGCUGGUCGUGUUACUUUGGCGCAAUCGGUGAUUCAAGCUAUGCCAAUUUAUGCAAUGCAAACGACCAUGCUUCCUGCUUCGGUGCGCCAUAGAAUUGAUAAGAGCUGCCGUAGAUUUAUUUGGGAUGGGAAGUCGAAGAGUCCUAAGAUGUGCAUGGUGGGCUGGGAUAAAAUCUGCUUGCCGAAAUCAAGUGGUGGCUUGGGGUUUAAGAACUUAGAGGUGAUGAAUCAUGCCCUGUUGAUGAAGAUUAGUUGGGGCAUUAUCUCCAACUCAGAUAAGUUAUGGGUGCGGGUUCUCUGUUCCAAAUAUGGAUUGGACCCAUGCAAUUUGCCGUCUUCCCUCCCUGACAAACAAGGUUCGCGUAUCUGGUCUGCUAUAAGAAAAACGUGGAAUGCAACCAUGCAUGGAGCUCGCUGGGCAGUGUGUGAUAGUGCUCGAAUUCGUUUCUGGCUGGACUGUUGGGUGACGAAAUAUGAGCCUUUGAUUCACCUAGCUCUCCAACCGAUCCCUCAGGCCUCUCUCAAUGCUACGGUUAGCGAAUUUACUAAUGAUUAUGGUGGCUGGAGAUGGGCGAGCUUUGAAUUCCUACUGCCCCCUUCUGUUCUUAUGCAGAUUGCCUCGAUCAUGCCACCUGCGCCGCAUCUUGGUCCUGAUAGACUAUAUUGGAGUUAUAAUCCAAGAGGGUUGUUCACAGUCCGAACUGCUUAUGAGUCUCUUUGCUACCAUAACUUAGACACUCAAGAUAAAGUAUGGAAAUUGCCAUGGUCUUGGAAAGGGCCCCAAUCUAUAAAGCUCUUUAUUUGGCAGACUUUGCAUGGCAAAUUGAAGACCCACAGUGAGCUUAAUAGGCGUAAUAUCCCCGUUUCUGAAGUUUGUGUUAGGUGUGGGGUUUCGGCUGAGGGCAUUCUUCAUGCUGUGAGAGAUUGUAGUUGCAUUAAGAAUCUAUGGCUUAGUCUUGUUCCAACCUGUCAUCAACUUGCUUUCUUCCAAUCCAACUUACGUGCAUGGGUUGCUGCCAACAUGCAAAAUACGUGGAAAAUUGAUUCGGAGCUUCCUUGGGAUUGUAUUUUUGGAGUGGCUAUUUGGAGAUUAUGGUUUUGGCGUAAUCAAUUUAUUAUGGCUGGGAAUUUGGUAGAUAGCAAGACAAUAUAUUCGGAUAUUAUGGCCAGAGCUAGUGAGAUCCAUAGAAUUAAUAACUCACAUCUCAGCCCACAACCAAGGCGUAAGGAGAUUUUUAUUGGUUGGUUGCCUCCUCCAUGGCCAUGGUGUAAGUUGAACACAGAUGGUUUCUGUAAACAUACAGGAGCAACUGCAGCGGGUGGGGUUAUUCGCGACUCCGUUGGUAACUGGGUCUCAGGCUUUAGUAUGAAUAUUGGGGAAAGCUCAGUGAUUAUGGCUGAACUUUGGGGCCUGUAUCAAGGAUUGUCCCUCGCCUGGAAUGUUGGAAUUAGACAUCUUUUGGUGGAAGUAGACAGCCUCUGUGUAACUCAGAUGAUUUCUCAACAGAUGGUUGUGCCUAAUGUCUCCUACGCUUUAGUGGUGGCAAUUCGUGAUUUUUUAAACAGAAAUUGGCAGAUUAAUAUCUCGCAUAUCUACCGUGAAGCGAACUCAGCUGCGGAUUUCAUGGCAAAUAUGGCCCAUUUAAUACCGCAUGGUCUACAGUUAUUCUCUAACCCGCCUGUGGGUAUUUAUUCUAUUCUUUCACAAGACAUGUAUGGGGUUUGUCAACCCCGCAUUAUUCCUAUCUAGCUCGCCUUGAUGAGCCCCUUUUAAUAAAAAAAAAAAGAAGAACAAAUCGAAACAGAGCUCAGUUAAAAGUUUCUUCUGCCGUCAUAUUUGAAAAAUGAAACCAUUUCCAGGAAGCAAUGGGCAGCAAAUUCAUAUAAAGCGUAGACAAUGAUGAGUAAAAAGGUAAUUCACAAUUUCACUUUUUUUUUAAUGAAAUUAAUUGUUUGGUUGGAGAGGAUAUUGUUAGAAGGCCAUUGAGCUAACCUAUGUCACUACUUGCCUAGAUUGCAGGGGGUCAAAACUCAAAAGAGGCAUUGAUUUUAAAAGGCAUCCAAUAAUUCUUGUGGCCAUAUAUCAAUUCAUGUAAGUUUGAUUGUAAUUAUUGGUGAAGGGGUUUCACUUCCCGUCUCUAAAUAAAAAUACUGAUUCUUUAAGGUACAUGCCACUAGGGAUUGCGAGAUUAACGAGUCUUUGGACAUUGGAAGAGCUCCUUGUGAGUGGAGGAGGAGGUGUUGAUGGUAGCAAAGCAUGUGGGCAGUGGGCUUGAAUCUCUUAAAAACUCGGAACUCCUCCAAGCGUAAGUAUACGUAUACUGGGAAAUGUGUUAGAUGUGGAUGAGGCUAAGAGAUUAGAGCUUGACAAAAUGAAAUACCUCUUUCAUUGAGACUUAAAUUUGAUGGGGAAGAAGAAAAAGAAGAGGGAAGGAGGAAGAAUGAGGAUAAUCAACUUGUUCUUGAAGCCUUGCAACCACCUCUGAAUUUGAAGGAAUUAGAGAUUUGGUCAUACAGAGGCAACAUUUGUUUUCAAAUGUGAAAAAAGAAAAUGUAAGGUAGUAAUUAAAUAUAUUAUAGCAUCAAAGCAAGAUUUGAUAUGAAUUUAAUACAACAAAGAACAUCAAAUCUGUGAUUCCUUGUCUAAUGUCACCAUCGAGCAACAAAUUUAAAAGCCUACCUAUCAAAUACACGAGGCAAUAAACGGAGAAAAAGUUGAAUUACAAGAACAAGUUUACAAUUCUUGUCAAUGGUUAAUGAUUCGUGAACUCGGACAGCAUUCAAGAGUCUAAUUUCAAUACAACAACGUAAAAGAUAAACAGAUGAUGAAUUUUAUGAGAUAAAGAAGGAGAUCGUGUUUUAUCGUAUCUCUAUUUUCUUUCUUUUUAAAUUUAAAAUAAGCUUUUCAACCGGUUUGUUAACCGGUUAUAAUAUUUUUUAAAAUAAUUAAAUAUUUUCAUUAUUAAAAAUAAUGUGUACCGUUGAUUACAUCUAACGGUAUAUAUUUCUUACACUACUAAUACCGUAAAAAAAAAAUACGGCAUCAUAGAGGGACCUUAAAACAUUUUCAUUUGAAAUUAUUUGGUGAAGUGAAAAAGUUAAGAAAGAAAUAGUUGUCCCUUUGGUCAUUUCACGAAAAUGAAAGCCCCAUAUAACAUGGACUUGAAUGGAAGCCCAAUUGUUGUGUUUGAUUUCAAGCUUUAUCGGACCUUUGGACCUGGAUACUUUACUGCGGCCUCUAAGCGCUAUAAAUUUUUUUUUGGGAUAAAAGGCGCUUCAAUGAAAAAGCACUUUAAAACUUUGGAUUUUGCCAAAACUUCAAAGCGGUUGGUCCAGUUACGGUGUUAUGCUAACGGUUUUAAAGGUUCGGAUCCAAUGAGUUAGGGUGGAAUAUGAAUAUAUAAAUUCCAUAGCAUGUAAGGACUAGGAUUUGUUUGUUCAUAUCAAGAAAAAAGAUCUGAAAAUUUGAUGAUCAGAAGAUAAAAACACUUAAACACGUUUAUUACUGAGAAACAAACGACAACACGAUACUAGUAGUAGUUAUUCUUUUCAUCCGAUAUAUUACAUGGUAAUAUCACUACUCGUUCCACUGGUUUCAUAUACACCAUCGACCAGCAACAUGAUAAUUUUGUGUCAGUUCAUUUUGUUUGUAGGAAAGAGCAGUGUAUUUCUUAGAGCUUGAAAAUAAUAAAAAGAUUUUAAAAUAUAAAUUGCAUAUUUGUUUAUUACUGUUGUUUGGUCUAAUUUCUUAUGUAGAAUUUUCAGAAUCUGUAGGACGUUAAUUUAUAACUUUGGUAAUUUAAUUAUUUUCUUUUUAUUAAUGUCCGGACAAAAAAUUAUUAUAAAAGGGUAAUAUUGUAAAAGUAAGCCAAAAUAAAUAACAAAUAACGAUAAGAGUAUCAAUAUUUUAAUAGCAGGGAUAUUUCGAGAUAUUUUUAAAAAUACAGAGACUAACUGGACAUUAAUCUUAAAAUAUAAGGACUAAAUGAGCUUUUACCCUUUUUAUAAUCCACACCAUCCUGAUAUAAUUAAACACCAUUAAUAAUGUACCAGCCUUUUAAUAGUAAUUAAUUUAUUUAGUUGGCCACCUAAAAGAAUCCUGCAGGAAAUACUAGUUAAAAAAUUUAUUAAAUUUGAUUACCUCUGUAUCAUUAUAUAUAUAAAGACUGAAAUCCAAAUGAAAUAUUUUAUCAUUCAUUCAGCAAACACUUAUAAAACACAAAUAGUGAAUCUAUGCAUUGACAAUGUGGAUUAAGAAUUAUAACACAUGAAUUCAAACAUACCCUCGUGAAGUUAAGAAUAAGUUCAUACUUCAAAUGAUUUUUUUAGCUAAUAAAGCAAUCACUUUCAUUAAACGACAGUGUUGAAGGAAUUGUGCAAUUUUUUACGUUCUUUUCUAGACAGACGUUACAGAGAUGGGGAAAGUAGAGGACUGGCCUCAGAUAUCUCACAAUUAUUAUUCUUUUUCAUUGUUAUAAUAAUAAUUUUUUUCUUUUGACAGUUCUGCAGGACAAGUGAUCAGAGCUCAAUGAAUAUAUCCGUGGAGGGUGAACUUAGGUUGAUGUCAAAAGAGGUAAAUGAAUUGGCCUGUUUAUAUAUAUAUAUAUAUAUAUAUAUAUAUAUAUAUAUAUAUAUAUAUAUAUAUAUAUAUAUAUAUAUAUAUAUAUAUCAUAUAUAUAUAUAUAGAGAGAAAUGUUCCAGUCAGGAAUUUUAAAGUGCAGGAAAGUACGGGAAACCUUUAAAACCGCAUGGUUUUAAAGGCUUAAAACUGUAAGCCUUUAAAGCNNNNNNNNNNNNNNNNNNNNNNNNNNNNNNNNNNNNNNNNNNNNNNNNNNNNNNNNNNNNNNNNNNNNNNNNNNNNNNNNNNNNNNNNNNNNNNNNNNNNAGAAUUUCUCUGUUAAUAUAUAUAUAUAUAUAUAUAUAUAUAUAUAUAUAUAUCAUAUGAUGCAGGCCACAGCAGAGCAGGAUUAUGAAAAAGAGAAGCUUAUUAAUAAGUGUUUACUUGCUUUUGAAAUAUAUAUAUAUAUAUAUAUAUAUAUUUCAAAUUCAAGUUUACUUGCUUUUAUAUAAUAAGUGUUUUGGCCGAUUUAUCUAAUUCACCAAAUGUCAUUUCCGGUACAUAUCUCCAUUGGUAUCAAGAAGAGGCAGAACCCAAAGAAACGUUUCUUGCAUCUUCAUAUUUAUGCGAAUUCAUCCUUUCAUUGAGAAUAACCAUUUCCAGCCGGCAGUUGGCAAUCAAUACGCACGUCGAUGCUAUUCAUAGAUAUUAAAGACAAUGAUGAACCAAAGGUGAUAAAUCAUAAAUGUAUAAUUACCAAACAUCCAUCCUUCUCUCAUUAUGAUUUGAUUUUAAAUGAAUUAUUGCUUGGUAACAUUAUUUCCAACCAUUGCAAGAUUAUUAUUAUUAUUUUUUUUUGGGAGAAAUUUCAAUUGAAAGUGAAACCUUUAGACAUUUACCUAAUGAAGUUAGUUACUCGGGAGGGUGGAAAAAAAAAAGUUGACGCAAGUCAAUACACAAUAAUUAAUUAAAUCCGGAGUGACUAAAACAGAGCCACUACUUUUUCAAAAAUAUCUGCAUUCAUCACUUUCUCCAGCAGCUAGUCAGCUACACACGAAUCAAUUUCUCUCCUCGUUUGUCAUCCAAAAUUAUUCACCAAUACCAUGGUUGAUGCCGUCGUUUCCACUAUCUUGGAGCAGCUGAUUUCCUUCGCUGCUGAAGAGAUAAAACAACAGGUGAUCGAAGUUACACCCCUCAUAUUACAAAUACUUCCAAUGAUUUUAAUAAAUUUUGUUUUUAUCAAAAACAUUAUAUAUUUUUGCUUUAUUUUAUUUAUCUGGUAAUUUUAGAUUUUGAAAUUUGAAUUGAAUUUAAUUAAAAGGUGAUGUAGUUAGUAACCACUUAUUUUUAUUUUAUUUCAUUUAUAUUCUCAAUAACUACUCAUAUUUUGGUAACUUACUAUAACUUUCAUAUCUAAGAAAUGAUCAAAACCCACAAUUUUAACUCAGCACGAAUAUUCAACGUUGAGUCAUUAAUUCUAAACUCAGCACUGAAUCCCAUAGCUAUUACUUAGACUCUAUGAAAAAUUUCAUAGUUUUCUUACGUUCUUUGAGUUUGGUAAGUGAUUUCGUAUAAUUUCUUUUCAAGUUAAAUUUUAAUUUGGUUUAUGAUAUAGUCUCUGUGCCGAAUUGUAUCUUUUAUGAUUCUUGGAUUUUGGGCUUCAACUUUUUAGGAUUUGAUAGUCAUAUAUUUAUGCCAUGCUCAGAUUGAUUUUCAUGAUUUUUAGUAGCCGUUAAGUGACUUACAAUUUGACGAAAGUUUGAAAGGAAAAAUGUUUCAGGAUUCUGUUUUAAUUUACCUUUUAGUAGAAAUAGGAUGCUUAUAACUUAAUGUGGAUGGUUCGUAAAAUCAUGAAAUUUGGAUAGGAUUCACUAGAAAUAUGUACAAGACUCUCCAUAAAGUUUCAUAAUUUUUCAUUCGGUAUGGGGUGGUACAGGUGAAACUUGUGGUUGGUGUUGAAAAAGAAGUGAAAAGCCUUACCAGCCACCUUGAAGCCAUUCAAGUUGUGCUCGAUGAUGCAGAGGAAAAGCAAGUGAAGGACAAAGCUGUUAGUCUUUGGCUGGGUAGGCUCAAGUACGCAUCCUACGACAUUGAAGAUGUGUUGGAUGAGUGGAUCACAGCAAGACGCAAAUUGCAAAUUGAGGGUGGCGUUGAUGAAAAUGCUCUUGUUGUUCCUCAUAAGAAAAAGAAGGUAUGUCUCUGCUUUCCCGGCUCUUGUUUUGGAUUCAAACAAGAAGAAUUUGGUUUCAAACAAGUCUUUCUCCGUCAUGACAUUGCCGACAAGAUCAAAGAAAUCAAUGAAGAGCUACAUGAUAUUGCCGCUCAAAAAGACAUGUUUGAUCUUGUUAAGAGUGGCAAUAAAAGUAGUGAAAGACCAAGGCGUGUACAGAGUACCUCCUUGAUUGAUGAGGAAGAGAUUUGUGGUAGAGUUGGUGAGAGGAAUGAACUCAUAAGCAAGCUGUUGCGUGAGAGUAGCGAGCAACAAAAAGGCCUCCAUAUCAUCUCAAUUGUUGGUAUGGGAGGCAUAGGGAAAACUACUCUUACACAACUAGCUUGUAAUCAUGAUGAGGUGAAGAGAAAGUUCGACAAAAUUCUGUGGGUGU
rnacentral:lncRNA from 1 species